AAUCUUCCACAAUGGACGAAAGUCUGAUGGAGCAACGCCGCGUGAGUGAAGAAGGUUUUCGGAUCGUAAAACUCUGUCAUUGGGGAAGAAUAAAUGACGGUACCCAAUGAGGAAGCCCCGGCUAACUUCGUGCCAGCAGCCGCGGUAAUACGAAGGGGGCUAGCGUUGUUCGGAAUUACUGGGCGUAAAGCGCACGUAGGCGGAUUGGUCAGUUAGGGGUGAAAUCCCGGAGCUUAACUCCGGAACUGCCUUUAAUACUGCCAGUCUAGAGACCGAGAGAGGUAAGUGGAACUCCUAGUGUAGAGGUGGAAUUCGUAGAUAUUAGGAAGAACACCAGUGGCGAAGGCGGCUUACUGGCUCGGAACUGACGCUGAGGUGCGAAAGCGUGGGGAGCAAACA
rnacentral:rRNA from 1 species